rnacentral:rRNA from 1 species
GUGCCAGCAGCCGCGGUAAUACGUAGGUGGCAAGCGUUAUCCGGAAUUAGUGGGCGUAAAGCGCGCGUAGGCGGUUUUUUAAGUCUGAUGUGAAAGCCCACGGCUCAACCGUGGAGGGUCAUUGGAAACUGGAAAACUUGAGUGCAGAAGAGGAAAGUGGAAUUCCAUGUGUAGCGGUGAAAUGCGCAGAGAUAUGUAGGAACACCAGUGGCGAAGGCGACUUUCUGGUCUGUAACUGACGCUGAUGUGCGAAAGCGUGGGGAUCAAACAGGAUUAGAUACCCUGGUAGUCAAGGGCG